UACGUAGGGUGCAAGCGUUAAUCGGAAUUACUGGGCGUAAAGCGUGCGCAGGCGGUUUCGUAAGUCUGUCGUGAAAUCCCCGGGCUUAACCUGGGAAUGGCGAUGGAGACUGCGAGGCCAGAGUUUGGCAGAGGGGGGUAGAAUUCCACGUGUAGCAGUGAAAUGCGUAGAGAUGUGGAGGAACACCGAUGGCGAAGGCAGCCCCCUGGGUCAAAACUGACGCUCAUGCACGAAAGCGUGGGGAGCAAACAGG
rnacentral:rRNA from 1 species